GAUACGCGAGGAACCUUACCUGGGCUCGAACGUAAGAUGACUGUAGGUGAAAGCUUACAUCUCUUCGGAGCAUUUUACGAGGUGCUGCAUGGUUGUCGUCAGCUCGUGCCGUGAGGUGUCGGGUUAAGUCCCAUAACGAGCGCAACCCUACCUUUAGUUGCCAUCAGGUUAAGCUGGGGACUCUAAAGGAACUGCCUACGCAAGUAGUGAGGAAGGCGGGGAUGACGUCAAAUCAGCACGGCCCUUACGUCCAGGGCUACACACGUGCUACAAUGGCCGAUACAGAGGGCAGCUACCUGGUGACAGGAUGCAAAUCUCCAAAGUCGGUCUCAGUUCGGAUCGGAGUCUGCAACCCGACUCCGUGAAGUUGGAUUCGCUAGUAAUCGCGCAUCAGCCAUGGCGCGGUGAAUACGUUCCCGGGCCUU
rnacentral:rRNA from 1 species